CCUACGGGAGGCAGCAGUGAGGAAUAUUGGUCAAUGGACGAGAGUCUGAACCAGCCAAGUAGCGUGAAGGAUGACUGCCCUAUGGGUUGUAAACUUCUUUUAUAUGGGAAUAAAAUGUUCCACGUGUGGGAUUUUGUAUGUACCAUAUGAAUAAGGAUCGGCUAACUCCGUGCCAGCAGCCGCGGUAAUACGGAGGAUCCGAGCGUUAUCCGGAUUUAUUGGGUUUAAAGGGAGCGUAGGUGGGUUGUUAAGUCAGUUGUGAAAGUUUGCGGCUCAACCGUAAAAUUGCAGUUGAAACUGGCAGUCUUGAGUACAGUAGAGGUGGGCGGAAUUCGUGGUGUAGCGGUGAAAUGCUUAGAUAUCACGAAGAACUCCGAGUGCGAAGGCAGUUCACUGGACUGCAACUGACACUGAGGCUCGAAAGUGUGGGUAUCAAACAGGAUUAGAUACCCGAGUAGUC
rnacentral:rRNA from 1 species